GUGGGGAAUCUUCCGCAAUGGACGAAAGUCUGACGGAGCAACGCCGCGUGAGUGAUGAAGGUCUUCGGAUUGUAAAGCUCUGUUAAUCGGGACGAAAGAGCCUAGUGUGAAUAAUGCUAGGAAGUGACGGUACCGGAAUAGAAAGCCACGGCUAACUACGUGCCAGCAGCCGCGGUAAUACGUAGGUGGCAAGCGUUGUCCGGAAUUAUUUGGCGUAAAGCGCGCGCAGGCGGAUCUGCCAGUCUGUCUUAAAAGUUCGGGGCUUAACCCCGUGAUGGGAUGGAAACUACAGAUCUAGAGUAUCGGAGAGGAAAGUGGAAUUCCUAGUGUAGCGGUGAAAUGCGUAGAUAUUAGGAAGAACACCAGUGGCGAAGGCGACUUUCUGGACGAAAACUGACGCUGAGGCGCGAAAGCCAGGGGAGCGAACGGGAUUAGAUACCCGUGUAGUCC
rnacentral:rRNA from 1 species